GUAGAUGCACUGGCUGGGUUGGGACCAAGCUACAAGAACUGUUACCGCCGACGAGGACUGGUGGCAAGAGACUAUAAAGGGCAAUAAACUUGCUGAAGGUUUUCGUAAAGGACCUCCAGGUUUCAUAGAUGAACUUGAAAUUAUGUUUGCGGGAGCUCAUGUUGAUGGGAAGAGUUCUUAUAUGCCCGGGGCAGGCAAUGAGCAAGUUAUUAUUGAAGAUGAUAAUUAAGGUGAGGAGGUACUAGUUACUCCUACAAGUCAGAAGUCUGGGUGUUUGAAUGGAAAGCGUGUGGGUAGUAGUGGUGGUGGAAGCCCAAAUAAGAAAAAGACCCCCAUGCAGAGAGAAUUCAAGCGUAUGGUUGAUCAUUAUACUUCUGACCGAUCAUCGGUGUCAUCUACUAGUAAUGCCACUUUAACUGUGAGAUUGAAAGCAUAAUGCAGAAGGUGGUGGAAUGUGGGGCAUCCGAAGAAAGUCCUGAGUACUACAUGGCAACCAAGUUGUUUGGCAAAGUUGAGAAUCGUGUCUUCUUUAAUACUAUGAAGACAAAAGAGGGAAGAUUGUGUUGGCUAACAAGGAUGUAUGAAGAUCGAAAAAGAAAUUAGAAUUUGUAUCCUUGUCAUGUUGUUGUGUUAUUUCCUUUAGCCGAAACUAUUCUGGUGUACUUUCCAUUUAGCUUCCCUUUGUCUCGGUCGUGUAAAACAUGGAUAUUUGUGUGCUGAAUCUAUUGUUUGCAGUUAUGUUGUGUUCUGAAA